UACGAAGGGGGCUAGCGUUGCUCGGAAUCACUGGGCGUAAAGCGCACGUAGGCGGCUUUUUAAGUCAGGGGUGAAAUCCUGGAGCUCAACUCCAGAACUGCCUUUGAUACUGGGAAGCUCGAGUGCGGGAGAGGUGAGUGGAAUUCCCAGUGUAGAGGUGAAAUUCGUAGAUAUUGGGAAGAACACCAGUGGCGAAGGCGGCUCACUGGCCCGGUACUGACGCUCAUGUGCGAAAGCGUGGGGAGCAAACAGG
rnacentral:rRNA from 1 species